rnacentral:lncRNA from 1 species
CGCACGCCUUCGUUGCACCGUGGGAAUCGAAGCUUUCCGCAUGUUUCGUUCUUGAAAAUAAUGGACACGUCAACGUGUGAAACGGGAGUGAAACUUUUUUUUUUUGAAUUGAAACAUUUUGAGGAGUUUGUAUAGAAAGAGAGGAAUGAAUUCAAAGAAUUAAAAGGAAUCAGGAAGAGAGUAAUAUGUAGAACUGGUGAAAGAGAUUUAAGGUAAGUUUUUAUAUUUGUUUUUAUUUGUAGAAAUCAAAUUUAUUUUGAAGAGGGAAUGAUAGAAAAGAUGAUUUAGAAAUCUAAUUAAAAUUGCUGAAAAUUUUCAUCAUUUUUAACUGGAAUCCCAUUUUUUUUAACUAAAUCAUAUUAUAUUCAAGAGAAAUUCAAUUUAUUAAACAAAUACUCUACGUUACGUGUUGUUUGAAAUAUUAAAUAAUUGUAAAUUUUAAAAUAAACAAAAAAAGAGUGAAUCUACUUACAGUAUCAUUAACUGCGAUGAUUUGAUAAAAAUUUGAUAGAGUAGAGAUUAGAGGAGCAAACUUGUCAAAGUAGGUUAUGUUUAAAGACGUAUUUAAUAUAAGAGGUUAGCUUUUGCGUAAUGAUGAUCUAAACAUCGAAGGAGGCAAAGUUGCGUGCACGCGAUAGGAAUGGUAAAAAGUAUGAAAAGAUCCGAGUUGUGGUCAGAUCGAAAGGAGGAUUCCUGCUUCUCUUCGCAUUUCUCUCGAGGUCGCUUUAGAAAGGCCGGAGAAACGUCUGGAAGGCCGUGUACGAACACGCGGUCUCGCAUCGCUAUCGCUGACGUACCGUUCCACGAGGAUUUUCCAGAGAUGGAUCAUUUUACAAUUGAAAUGCGUGAAUCCAAUGAAAAUUAGAAAAAAAAAAAGAAUAUUAGAAAGCUGUUGUAAAUAUAAAAUAUGCAAUGUUGAUCACGAUGAAUUUUUAAUAUUUAUUAUCCAUUGUGAUAGAUCGUAUGUUACAUUGUAAUAAAUAAAUAUAUUGAAAAUUUUGAUCGUGUAAUUUUUACAAGUAAUUGUAAGUAAUCGUGAAAACCACUUUGCAAUUCUCUCGAGCGUCGCGCGACACACGGCAUAGAUAUUAAUUCGUUAGAGAAUGAUUUAUGCACACACGUUAUAAGGGAACGAGCGAAAGUUCCGCACGUUUGACUGUCCACUUUUUGCAAAUUCAUCUUAGCCAGAUACCGAGGAAAGUUAGAAAACAGUGGUCGUGGGAAAUCACGUGUAGAUUAACGUAUAGAAAUCGCGAAUAGAUUGCCUUGUGCAUUCAACGGAGAAACAAUCUGCCCGGAUGCAAUAA